rnacentral:rRNA from 1 species
UGCGUAGGUGGUUUCUUAAGUCAGAGGUGAAAGGCUACGGCUCAACCGUAGUAAGCCUUUGAAACUGUCAUACUUGAGUGCCGGAGGGGUAAGCGGAAUUCCUAGUGUAGCGGUGAAAUGCGUAGAUAUUAGGAGGAACACCAGUGGCGAAGGCGGCUUACUGGACGGUAACUGACGUUGAGGCUCGAAAGCGUGGGGAGCAAACA